rnacentral:lncRNA from 11 species
CGUGACCUCACGGACCAGUUCAUGCCACAGCUUCCUGUUGGCCGUCGCCACCCUCAGUUCCUUCAAGGUCAGAGGUAUAGUGGCAACAUCAAAAGAUGAACUGCUCAACACAAGACUUCCCGCUCAAUUAUUCUGAAAUUCUCUCAAUGCCUGCAAGUGAAGAAACC